GUCCACGUAGCUCAGCUGGAUAGAGCACAUGCCUCCUAAGCGUGGGGUCGGAGGUUCAAAUCCUCUCGUGGACG
rnacentral:tRNA from 1 species